GAUUUCUGGCCUGAAACAUUUCGUCGGCCACGGUUUCGUGUGUUAGUGCAUUAUGUUCUGGCCAUCCUUCCAAUCGCUAUUUACCUUUCUUCAUUGAUUGGUAAGUGGUAUUGGAUCUUUUACUUUGAAAAAAUUAGAGUGUUUCAAGCAGGCUUUAUGCUAUGAAUACAUUAGCAUGGAAUAAUAAUUUAGGAUUUCGGUUCUAUUUUGUUGGUUUCUAGGACUGAAGUAAUGAUUGAUAGGGAUAGUUGGGGGUGCUAGUAUUCAGCGGCCAGAGGUGAAAUUCUCGGAUUCGCUGAAGACUAACUUAUGCGAAAGCAUU
rnacentral:rRNA from 1 species